GAUGAACGCUGGCGGCGUGCCUAAUACAUGCAAGUCGAACGCGAAAGGUCUGAAGCCUUCGGGCGGAGGGCCGAGUAGAGUGGCGAACGGGUGAGGAACACGUAGGUGACCUGCCCCGGAGAGGGGGAUAACCGGUCGGAAACGGCGGCUAAUACCCCAUAAGCUCACGCGAGUUAGAGGGCGUGUGAGAAAAGCUCCGGCGCUCCGGGAGGGGCCUGCGGCCCAUCAGCUAGUUGGUAGGGUAAAGGCCUACCAAGGCGAAGACGGGUAGGGGCCUGAGAGGGUGGUCCCCCACAUGGGAACUGAGACACGGUCCCAACUCCUACGGGAGGCAGCAGUAAGGAUAUUGCACAAUGGGCGCAAGCCUGAUGCAGCAACGCCGCGUGCCCGAGGACGGCCUUCGGUUGUAAAGGGCUUUUCUGGCUGACGAGGAAGGACGGUAGGCCAGGAAUAAGACGUCGGGCUAACUACGUAGCCAGCAGCCGCGGUAAAGAGUAGUA
rnacentral:rRNA from 1 species